ensembl:lncRNA
GAUGGUAGUGGUGGUGAUGGAGGUGGUGGUGGUGGUGUUGAUGGAGGUGGUGGUGGUGGUGAAAGUGGUGGUGGUGGUGAAAGUGGUGAAAGUGCUGGUGGUGGUGAAAGUGGUGAAAGUGGUGGUGGUGGAGGUGGUGGUAGUGAAAGUGGUGGUGGUGGAGGUGGUGAUGGUGGUGGUUGUGAAAGUGGUGGUGGUGGUAGUGGUGGUGAUGGAGGUGGUGAUGGAGGUGGUGGUGGUGGUGGUAGUGGUGAUGAUGGAGGUGGUGAUGGAGGUGGUGGUGGUGGUGAAAGUGCUGGUGAAAGUGGUGGUGGAGGAGAAAGUGGUGAAAGUGGUGGUGGUAGUGGUGGUGGUGAUGAUGGUGAAAGUCAUGGUGGUGAAAGUGGUGAAGGUGGUGGUGAUGGAGGUGUUGAUGGAGGUGGUGGUGGUGGUAGUGGUGGUGUUGGAGGUGGUGGUGAAAGUGAUGGUGGUGGAGAAAGUGCUGAAAGUGGUGGUGGUAGUGGUGGUGGUGGAGGUGGUGGUGGUGGUGGUGAUGGUGGUGGUUGUGAAAGUGGUGAUGGUGGUGGUAGUGGUGGUGAUGGAGGUGGUGAUAGAGGUGGUGGUGGUAGUGGUGGUAUUGGUGGUAGUGGUGGUGGUGAAA